UACAUAGGUCUCGAGCGUUGUUCGGAUUUAUUGGGCGUAAAGGGCGCGUAGGCGGCGGGGCAAGUCUGGUGUGAAAUCUCGGAGCUCAACUCCGAAAUUGCACUGGAUACUGCUCUGCUAGAGGGCUGGAGAGGAGAUCGGAAUUCACGGUGUAGCAGUGAAAUGCGUAGAUAUCGUGAGGAAGACCAGUGGCGAAGGCGGAUCUCUGGACAGCUACUGACGCUGAGGCGCGAAGGCUAGGGGAGCAAACGGG
rnacentral:rRNA from 1 species